rnacentral:rRNA from 1 species
UACGUAGGGUGCAAGCGUUGUCCGGAAUUAUUGGGCGUAAAGAGCUCGUAGGCGGUUUGUUGCGUCGGCUGUGAAAUCCCGAGGCUCAACCUCGGGUCUGCAGUCGAUACGAGCAAACUAGAGUGUUGCAGGGGAGACUGGAAUUCCUGGUGUAGCGGUGGAAUGCGCAGAUAUCAGGAGGAACACCAAUGGCGAAGGCAGCUCGCUGGGACGUGACUGACGCUGGAGACGCGAAAGCGUGGGGAGCAAACAGG